AUCGCUUCUGGGCCUUUUGAUUAACAUCAAGUGUAGUGUCUGUUCUUAUCAGUUUGAUAUCUGAUACGUUCCCUAUUCGAGGACAACGUAUUAAAUGGGUUUUUGAAGCUCGGAGAGGGGAUAGGAGCUUGCUCUGUCCACUCCACGCAUCGUCCUGGUUUUGCAGUACUUCCAGGAACGGUGCACCCCCU
rnacentral:snRNA from 1 species